CCGAAUAAAAGAGAGAUAAAGUCAUCCACCCUCUUGCCAGGGCCACUGCGGGGAGGAAGGAGGAAGAAGCAAGAAGAAUGCAAUGCUCAAACACAUACUGGGCAUCAAGUGUUCAUCCUCCUGCUCGGUUCUUUACUCAGAGCUCUCAUCAUAAUGAAGAUACUAGUUGUCCGGUGGUAGCUCUUCCUCUACCUUCGCACGUGAAAUCCAUCACAAGCCCAUCCAAUCCAUUUGUAAAGCACUGCUUCAAGCUCCGUCACAGUUCUUCUUAUCGCUACUCUCAUGGUUCUGCUCUUGUUGUGGGCACUACUCCCAUAAGGGAAAUAUACAAGUUUCAACAGUCAACCCAAGAGAGAACUGUUGAAAUGGAUUGUUUACUUAUACUCGAUAAAGCUGAGAUUCCUGAAGGGCUAGAUGAUUUCUCUGUUCGUCGUGUGCGUGUGAGCUCUAUGGUGAUGAAAAAACUUUCUGGGUUGCAAUCAACUGAAUCUGUUGAAGCUAUUGCCCUGAUGAGAAUUCCUACCAGUUUCUUCAGUGUAAAUGAUGAUACAUAUGAAAAAGACUGUCGGAGGUGGUUCCAAUCUCCUCAUCGAAUUCUAGUUCUUGAUAGGAUCCAGGACCCAGGUAACCUUGGUACAUUACUUAGAUCAGCUAUGGCCUUUAGAUGGGGUGGUGUUUUUCUGCUGAGUGGGUGUUGUGAUCCAUUCAAUGAGAAGGCCCUCCGAGCUAGCCGGGGAGCCUCUUUUCAGCUCCCUAUAGUUUCUGGCAGUUGGAUUCAUCUAGAAACCCUCAAAAAUGAAUUCCAAAUGAAGAUGAUAGCUGGCCAUCCUGACAGUAACCAGAAAAGGAAGCCAGUGUCUCCUCUUUCUCAAGGGCUGGCUGAUUCUUUAGCAGAUGUACCAUUGUGCUUCGUUCUGGGCAGCGAGGGGAGUGGCCUUUCAGAGAAAUCCUGGCAGUUAUGUGAGCUUGUAAGCAUUCCAAUGGCAGGAGAGUUUGAGUCUCUCAAUGUUUCAGUUGCAGGUGGGAUUUUCUUGUAUAUGCUACAACCUCAGAACCGAAGAGUUUGAUUCUCCUUUGGGAACUUAUUGCAAAGCCUAAUUGAGAAAUAUACAGCUCAGGAGGCUGCGAUUCAACAAGUGGAGUAUUGGGACAGAGUAAAGGAUGAGAGGAGCUUGUCAAUGGAGGAAUUAGCUUGUAAGAAGGAAGCCAAGGA